rnacentral:ncRNA from 2 species
ACACUCGCGCUCGUUCCAGGUGCUCGCCAUCCCGCCCACGGCAGGGUGGCAGUUCAACGGGAAACAGGGAGCCGCGGCCGACAGACUGCUCGGCCAGGCCAACCUGUGCUGCCCCCGCAACGGUAAGCGGCCGCGAUGCCUGUCCACAUGGCGUCGCAAGGCUGGCCAAUCGCCACUGAACCUUACGUCAUACGUUCGGGAAGGCGGCCAGUCCGGAGCCGUCAGCCCGGAUACCGGCCUGAACGCGGGCUGCCGC